UGAGAUUAGUUGGGCAUGCAGUACAAUUGGUGCCAAGAAAAUUAGCUCCCGUGUAAUUGAAGGGAAAAGGGCCCAAAUCUCGCGCAGUUUGCGGUCGGUUUCUGGCAUCAUGAGUGUCUGAUCUCUUUUUUUUUUCCCCGAAUAUGAGGGUGUGAUCUCCUGCACACCUGGAGAAGAAGACAGCAUUAGGAAAUACUCGAACACAGUGCCUUCUUUUUGUCAAUUUCUGAACCUGAGGUGAUUUCUGCCGUAAUCAUCAUUUCAUAGGCACACAAACCACUGGGUCAGUUUGAUUCUAGCACACAUUAGCAGUAUCUCCUGCGCCCGUCAAGAACAGUAUUGCGCAACAGUAUCUUUUACUAUUCCUGUCAUGCUGAGGUUAAACUAGAUGUUAUUAGCAGGGCAAAUCAUGCUGUAGGUUGCUUGCGUUGCUGUCUUGCCUAUCUUCAAUUCGCAUACUGAAAUAUAGAUGAUGUGUGUCGCGCAGUAUAGGCUUUUGGUACCUUCUUUUGCUUUAUGAAUGGACAUUUUUGCAUCUGCUCCAGUAUUAGUGAUGCUUGAUUUAAUUUGUUCUUGCAAAACAAUUUGAUAUUACCUUAGAAACAAUGGUGUUUUUUUCUUCUAAAUAUACAAUGCUAUAACUGCCUCUGUUUCAUGUUUCAUGUAUCUUUCAUGAGAAAUCGAAUUUGACAUGUCAACUUGUGUGGCUUGAAGAUUAUUAAGAAAAAAUAAGGUGGCAAAGCAGCAGUCUGACUUCAAUGGAUGGGUUUCUGGUACCCUAUCACAACUUCGUAACCUCCCAAUUCGCCUAUUGUAAUUGUUGCAUGGUAAUAUAUACAUAUAUUUUGCAAUUCAGGAAUGAAGUCUUUUUUUAGGCUUUCAGCUUUGAGCCUAGAACAUAGACUUACACCUCAUUACUAUUGGUUGAAAACUUUAGAAUUUUGAGAUUUUUUUUUGGAAACUUGUAAUUCUGCUUUACGCAGAAAAACCAUUUUGUACCCCAUAAUAAGAUAUAUAAAAACAACAAAUACAUUGACAGUUUUUCUUAAGACAAUGCAGUUCUGUUCUGAUAUAUCUCCCUCAUUCAGCAUAACAUUACUCAUUCUUUUUCUCCCAACUCCCCUGCCCAAAAAAAUUAACCAUUUUGGUGAUUUGUCCAUACAAAGAAAAGCGUGUUUAUUACAAAUGAGCUGCAAUAGCACUACUGCUACAGUGUUUGGAUAUGAUUUUAUCUGUAGCUCAUACGGCACGGCAAUAGCUGUCUUGCAUAUAACAGAUGUCCAUACUAAGGGAAUUUCUGGUCUUGUGUUUCUAGUUUUAUGUUACAUGUUAAAAACUAUGAUGUGAUCAAUAAUUUAGCUCCAAUUUACUGAUUAUGGUCUUCAAAUUAGUUGCCACAUAUCUUGUUUACAACCUCAUGUUACCAAUCCUUUUUUUUUUGUUACAGCAUGCUGCAUCUUUGUUUGACAAUUCACUUGUUCUCUAGGGGUGUGAGAUCUGCAUAUACACAAUUACUAGCUAUAUUACUGCUAGCUCCGAGCUACUGUUAUUGAGAAUGGGUAUAACAAGGAAGAAAUGAAAAUGGCGAAGGAGACCAACAAAUUUGGGUUCUGUGAUGUACUGAUGUGUGUGCACAUGUUGAAAGUGUCAAUCUAUAGUUUGAAAAGCUACUCGAUGAGGAUCAUAGAAGCAUGUCAAUAAACAUAGGCGAAGAUAGAUUGAGAAUCGAAGAGAAGUGUCUGUCGGCUUGUGCAAAGCUUUUUAAAUAGAAUUAGAAUGCAAUGUGUAAGUUUUAAGGGAAUAUGUAAUAUCUAAAUGUAUGGGGAUGAUUAAUUUUGUUGCUGACUCUAUUGCUCUAAUAUUAAAUGAAUACAUUUCAUGUACUUUUUCAUCCGUA